UACAGAGGUCUCAAGCGUUGUUCGGAUUCAUUGGGCGUAAAGGGUGCGUAGGUGGCGCCAUAAGUCAGGUGUGAAAUCUCGGGGCUCAACCCCGAAACUGCACUUGAUACUGUGGUGCUGGAGUACUGGAGAGGAGAUUGGAAUUUACGGUGUAGCAGUGAAAUGCGUAGAUAUCGUAAGGAAGACCAGUGGCGAAGGCGAAUCUCUGGACAGUUACUGACGCUGAGGCACGAAGGCCAGGGGAGCAAACGGG
rnacentral:rRNA from 1 species